rnacentral:rRNA from 1 species
CCUACGGGAGGCAGCAGUGGGGAAUAUUGCGCAAUGGGCGAAAGCCUGACGCAGCGACGCCGCGUGAGGGAUGAAGGUCUUCGGAUCGUAAACCUCUGUCAGUAGGGAAGAACGGUCACUGUGCUAAUCAGCAGUGAAUUGACGGUACCUGCAAAGGAAGCACCGGCGAACUCCGUGCCAGCAGCCGCGGUAAUACGGAGGGUGCGUGCGUUGAUCGGAAUGACUGGGCGUAAAGCGAACGUAGGCGGUAGGUCAAGUCAAGGGUGAAAUGCCACGGCUCAACCGUGGAACUGCCGUUGAAACUGGCAGACUGGAGUAUGUGAGAGGGCGGCGGAAGUCCUGGUGUAGGAGUGAAAUCCGUAGAUAUCAGGAGGAACAUCGGUGGCGAAGGCGGCCGCCUGGCACAAAACUGACGCUGAGGUGCGAAAGCGUGGGUAGCAAACAGGAUUAGAUACCCUAGUAGUC